UACAGAGGUCUCAAGCGUUGUUCGGAUUUAUUGGGCGUAAAGAGCUCGUAGGCGGUUCCGUAAGUCGCGAAGUAAAAUCCCUGGGCUCAACCCAGAAUCGCUUCCGAUACUGCGGUGACUGGAGUCCGGUAGGGGAGUGUGGAAUUCCUGGUGUAGCGGUGAAAUGCGCAGAUAUCAGGAGGAACACCAACAGCGAAGGCAGCACUCUGGGCCGGUACUGACGCUGAGGAGCGAAAGCAUGGGGAGCGAACAGG
rnacentral:rRNA from 1 species